rnacentral:rRNA from 1 species
UUAGCCCUAAACCUAGAUAGCCCAACAACAACGUUAUUCGCCAGAGUACUACUAGCAACAGCUUAAAACUCAAAGGACUUGGCGGUGCUUCACACCCUUCUAGAGGAGCCUGUUCUGUAAUCGAUAAACCCCGAUAAACCUCACCAACCCUUGCUAAUACAGCCUAUAUACCGCCAUCUUCAGCAAACCCUAAAAAGGAACCAUAGUAAGCAAAACUAUGUAACAUAAAAACGUUAGGUCAAGGUGUAGCCUAUGGGUUGGGAAGAAAUGGGCUACAUUUUCUAAUAUAGAACACUUUAACGAAUAUUCCCGUGAAACCAGGAAUGGAAGGAGGAUUUAGUAGUAAAUUAAGAAUAGAGAGCUUAAUUGAAUUAGGCCCUGAAGCAC